rnacentral:rRNA from 1 species
UACGUAGGGACCAAGCGUUGUUCGGAUUUACUGGGCGUAAAGGGCGCGUAGGCGGCGCGGUAAGUCACUUGUGAAAUCUCUGAGCUUAACUCAGAACGGCCAAGUGAUACUGCAGUGCUAGAGUGUGGAAGGGGCAAUCGGAAUUCUUGGUGUAGCGGUGAAAUGCGUAGAUAUCAAGAGGAACACCUGAGGUGAGGACGGGUUGCUGGGCCAACACUGACGCUGAGGCGCGAAAGCCACGGGAGCAAACGGG